GAAGUAUAAGCUGCUGGGACCAGUUGUCAGUAAAGGCAGUAUGAUUCAAUGAAUCAAUUAAAUCAGGAUGGAGAAGGGAAGCAAAAAGUCCAAGCCAGAUAAGUGGAACUACCCAUGAAACUGGAGGGUGUGGUGAACAAAAGCAAAAUGAUUAGUCACAAGGUCAGGAGCAAUGGCCCCAGGAUGAAGAAAGGUAGUUAGAUGGAGGAUGGUUCUCCUCAUUCCACAGAUGAUGAACUUGAAACCAGUGACCUUUUUGACAGGAAAAAAAAAGAAAAAUUCUGUGGAAGGCAGCU
rnacentral:lncRNA from 1 species